rnacentral:rRNA from 1 species
UACGGAGGGUGCGAGCGUUAAUCGGAAUUACUGGGCGUAAAGGGUGCGUAGGUUGUUGAAUAAGUUAUCUGUAAAAUCCCUGGGCUUAACCUGGGCAGGUCAGAUAAGACUGUUUGACUCGAGUAUAGGAGAGGGUAGUGGAAUUUCCGGUGUAGCGGUGAAAUGCGUAGAGAUCGGAAGGAACACCAGUGGCGAAGGCGGCUACCUGGCCUGAUACUGACACUGAGGCACGAAAGCGUGGGGAGCAAACAGG